GACGAACGCUGGCGGCGUGCUUAACACAUGCAAGUCGAGCGAUGAAGUUCCUUCGGGAAUGGAUUAGCGGCGGACGGAUGAGUAACACGUGGGUAACCUGCCUCAUAGAGGGGAAUAGCCUUUCGAAAGGAAGAUUAAUACCGCAUAAGAUUGUAGUAUCGCAUGAUACAGCAAUUAAAGGAGUAAUCCGCUAUGAGAUGGACCCGCGUCGCAUUAGCUAGUUGGUGAGGUAACGGCUCACCAAGGCGACGAUGCGUAGCCGACCGGAGAGGGUGAUCGGCCACAUUGGGACUGAGACACGGCCCAGACUCCUCCGGGAGGCAGCAGUGGGGAAUAUUGCACAAUGGGGGAAACCCUGAUGCAGCAACGCCGCGUGAGUGAUGACGGUCUUCGGAUUGUAAAACUCUGUCUUCAGGGACGAUAAUGACGGUACCUGAGGAGGAAGCCACGGCUAACUACGUGCCAGCCGCCGCCGUAA
rnacentral:rRNA from 1 species